UAGGUAAUGAAUUUCCCCAGUCCAACUUAUUGAAUAAUCAUUGUCCUGAAGUAGUUAAUGGAUUUGAGUUACAGCUCGGCAAAUUCCACAAAGAAAAUAAAACAGCACAAGGUCCCCACAGAGCGACGGGAGGCAGGAAAGGGGAAGUCCAUGCCACCAGAGGAAUAGUUUCAUUGAACGCUUGAUCUUUGAGCCGAACUCAGAAGGAGCCACCCCUGUAAAGGUCUAUAGGCUGAUUAAACUUGAUGGGUUCUGGAGAUGCCGAGGAAGAGAGGCAGCAUCACCUACUUGCCUGGACUCUAGAUGGGCAGCUGAUCAUCUUGGACAGACUGCUGGAUGCUGUACCCAGGGUGGUCACUCCCAGACACCAUAGAAAAUGAUCUUCAUGGCUGCUGUAUGGAAUGUUGAUCACAAAAGAGCGAGGAUGGAAGGGGAAUGUCCAGCAAUCCUGGAUGGAAGACCAAGCAAAUAAAAUGAGCUGUUUUCUCAUGAGCCAGUGUGAAAGACUCAGGUCGAACCAACCGUAAGGAGUCAUGGACAUCUUGUGUGUCUCUUCUCAGACUGUUUUCCAAUGGGGAAAAGGGUGGAGGGUGCUCAGUCUCAAACUAGCCUUGAAAGAAGAUGAAAAGACGUGACCAAAGGUGACAAGAAGAACAAGAAAAGGUUGGUGAAAGAACCAUAAAACUUCCCUAACAUGAAGACAUUAAGAUGCUGCAUGCAGAAGAGGUGGGGCUUGUAAAAGGUGAGAGUAAAGACAAAUAUAUAAAUGAAGAUAUUUGGAGGCGAUGGUCAAGGCCAGAACUUCUCUGCCUAGAUAAGGAGGACAUCUCACCCCUCAGGCUGAGGUUGUUGCUGAGAGACAGAGUGGAAUGGUAUUUCCAUUUUUCUAACUCUCAGAAUCCAGCCCUCCAAUCCAGCCCACAAAUAAUCUUGCCUAAUUUUUUCAUGCGAAUAGAAAUCUUGCAUUUUUUGUGAACCUUGAAAUACAUUUGGUUCUCAAGUUCGGGGGAUCAUGUUAUAUUUUGAAAUAAAAAUUGUCGUAAUUGGAUUAGGCUCAAUUGCAGUUGUAGUAAGACUGGCUUUGGGUAUGGAAUAUAAAUGAGGUCAGCUUAAAGGAAGUAAUUCAUUCCUCUAAUGACAACAUCUUGGUCUAUGAAAUGAAAAAAGAUCAAAGCUCAUUCAAAAAUAAAUGGAUUUAAUGGAACAGUAGUUAAAGAAGUCUGGAGAAUUCAUUUUAUUUUCAUUGUAUAAUAUCUGUUUCUCAUAGAGUUGUCUUGUUCUUUAGUACUUUUUAUUCUUAUGACUGUGCAUGGGUUUGAUUAGCUUAAUUAGAGUUAAUGUCUUGGGAGCAGAAUGUGGGACUGUGAAAGUUUGGGUUCCUGAAGACUUUGAAAAGAGAACUGUUGGCCUCGUUCUACAUAAAUUCAGAAUCGAAAAUGUCUGAUGGUUAUUAUCAUCUUAAAGUAAUUGAAGCACUGCUAAAAAUAAAAACCAGAAGGAGAAAAAUUGAACCCGAAUAAAAGAAAUGGAGUUAUCCCAGAUUUGGAUACAAUUCUCUCGGCAAAUUGAGCUUAAAUCUGAAGUCUUAGGAAAUAGAAUGAAUGCCAAAAAAUUAUUUUUCCCCCUGUGUGCUGUUAACAAGGGCAGUCUCUUCGUUUUCACAGUAUUUCCUUCUAUUUUCCUCCUGUUGUCUGUGGCUCCACUUUAGGUUAGUAGGGACUUUAGAGGGAAAUACCACUUCAGAUUAAAGUCUUGUCAGAUCUCAUUUAUUAACUGGCAUGGGGUCUGGUGUCCUGGAGCGAGAAGGUCUCCUGAGGAAGCAUUUGUUGUGAGCCUCUCUUGCAGGGACUGAGUUUGGAGCAGGACUUUCCAGGAGCCGUCCUGUGUUAGGAGGAGACGAAGUUCCACAAAACUAGGACCCAAGAGAGGAUUAAGUAUUUUGAUCCUAAAAAGAAAAGGGUUGAGGGAUGAGGUGGGGAGGGAGAUGUUCCAAAAUGUUUUACUUUGAGCUGGGCAUGGUGGCGGGUGUCUGUAAUCUCA
rnacentral:lncRNA from 1 species